rnacentral:lncRNA from 10 species
GGUUUCAGUGGGCUUUGCUCUUGUUAUUAUUCAUACCUAGGAUGUCCCAACUAGCUGUGCAGAUAUCGCUGAAGGGAUCACAGCAGGAAAUUACUUGUGCUUGUCAGUUGAUUGUGCAGUGAAGAGACCGGUGGGGCUAAGAGCUGAAGAUCUCUAUCCACCGACCAGGGAGAUUGAAAGGCAGUGCGAUGGAACGGCACGGCCGCUCCCUGACCUCGGCCUUGACCUUGACCUUGAGCCCCCAGCCUCCCAGCAAGCGAGAGAAAGCCCACAAUGCAGUGGCCUGAUCUGGCCGGCCUUGGCCAUCACCCUCCAC